rnacentral:rRNA from 1 species
UGUACCUACGGGGCGCAGCAGUGGGGAAUUUUGGACAAUGGGCGCAAGCCUGAUCCAUCUAUUCCGCGUGUGGGAUGACGGCCCUCGGGUUGUAAACCACUUUAGUAGAGAACGAAAAGGAGCUAUCGAAUAAAUAGCUCUGCUGACGGUACUCUAAGAAUAAGCACCGGCUAACUACGUGCCAGCAGCCGCGGUAAUACGUAGGGUGCGAGCGUUAAUCGGAAUUACUGGGCGUAAAGGGUGUGCAGGCGGCUGAGUAAGACAGAUGUGAAAUCCCGGGGCUUAACCCCGGAACUGCUUUCAAA